rnacentral:rRNA from 1 species
GAUGAACGCUAGCUACAGGCUUAACACAUGCAAGUCGAGGGGUAACGAGAGGAAAGCUUGCUUUCCUUGUCGACGACCGGCGCUCGGGUGAGUAACGCGUAUCCAACCUGCCCCCAACUAGGGAAUAACCUUGCGAAAGUAAGACUAAUACCCUAUAAUUUCCUCAGAUGACAUCUGACGAGGAAUAAAGAUUUAUCGGUUGUGGAUGGGGAUGCGUCUGAUUAGCUUGUUGGCGGGGUAACGGCCCACCAAGGCAACGAUCAGUAGGGGUUCUGAGAGGAAGGUCCCCCACGUUGGAACUGAGACACGGUCCAAACUCCUACGGGAGGCAGCAGUGAGGAAUAUUGGUCAAUGGGCGAAAGCCUAAACCAGCCAAGUAGCGUGCAGGAUGACGGCCCUAUGGGUUGUAAACUGCUUUUAUACAGGAAUAAAGUUAGCCACGUGUGGUUAUUUGUAGGUACUGUAUGAAUAAGGACCGGCUAAUUCCGUGCCAGCAGCCGCGGUAA